GAAAAAGAAUGCAAGAACUGCUAAUUCAUGCCCCCCGCAUUUAAGACUGCGGCUUUUUCG
rnacentral:tRNA from 1 species